rnacentral:rRNA from 1 species
CCCUACGGGAGGCAGCAGUAGGGAAUCUUCCACAAUGGACGAAAGUCUGAUGGAGCAACGCCGCGUGAGUGAAGAAGGGUUUCGGCUCGUAAAGCUCUGUUGGUAGUGAAGAAAGAUAGAGGUAGUAACUGGCCUUUAUUUGACGGUAAUUACUUAGAAAGUCACGGCUAACUACGUGCCAGCAGCCGCGGUAAUACGUAGGUGGCAAGCGUUGUCCGGAUUUAUUGGGCGUAAAGCGAGUGCAGGCGGUUCCAUAAAUCUGAUGUGAAAGCCUUCGGGUCCACCGGAGGAUUUCAUCAGAAAAU